rnacentral:rRNA from 1 species
UACGGAGGGGGCUAGCGUUGUUCGGAAUUACUGGGCGUAAAGCGCACGUAGGCGGCUUUGUAAGUCAGAGGUGAAAGCCCGGAGCUUAACUCCGGAAUUGCCUUUGAGACUGCAUCGCUUGAAUCCAGGAGAGGUGAGUGGAAUUCCGAGUGUAGAGGUGAAAUUCGUAGAUAUGGGGAGGAACACCGGUGGCGAAGGCGGCCAUCUGGACGGAUACUGACGCUGAGACGCGAAAGCGUGGGGAGCAAACAGG